CGGACGGGUGAGUAACGCGUGGAAAACCUGCCGUAUACUGGGGGAUAACACUUAGAAAUAGGUGCUAAUACCGCAUAAGCGCACAGCUUCGCAUGAAGCGGUGUGAAAAACUCUGGUGGUAUACGAUGGUUCCGCGUCUGAUUAGCUAGUUAGUGGGGUAAUGGCCUACCAAGGCAACGAUCAGUAGCCGGCCUGAGAGGGUGAACGGCCACAUUGGGACUGAGACACGGCCCAAACUCCUACGGAAGGCAGCAG
rnacentral:rRNA from 1 species